rnacentral:rRNA from 1 species
AAGAGCGAUCUGAAGCAGUGAUCCGAAGCCCCAGUGAACGGCGGCCGUAACUAUAACGGUCCUAAGGUAGCGAAAUUCCUUGUCAGGUAAGUUCUGACCCGCAUGAAAGGCGUAAUGAUCUGGGCACUGUCUCAACAGCCCGCCCGGCGAAAUUGUAGUACCGGUGAAGAUGCCGGUUACCCGCGACAAGACGGAAAGACCCCAUGGAGCUUUACUGUAGCCUGAUAUUGGGUUUCGGAAAUCUAUGUACAGGAUAGGCGGGAGACUGGGAAACAUGAGCGUCAGCUUGUGUGGAGUCGAUGUUGGGAUACCGCCCUUAGGUUUCUGGAAUUCUAACCUGCGGCCGUGAAUCCGGUCGGGGGACAUUGUCAGGUGGGCAGUUUGACUGGGGCGGUCGCCUCCUAAAGAGUAACGGAGGCGUUCAAAGGUUCGCUCAGCUUGAACGGAAAUCAAGCAAAAGAGUGCAAACGCAGAAGCGAGCCUAACUGCGAGACUGACGGGUCGAGCAGUAACGAAAGUUGGAGUUAGUGAUCCGGUGGUAUGUGAGUGGAAAUGCCAUCGCUCAACGGAUAAAAGUUACCCUGGGGAUAACAGGCUGAUCUCCCCCAAGAGUCCACAUCGACGGGGAGGUUUGGCACCUCGAUGUCGGCUCAUCGCAUCCUGGGGCUGUAUUCGGUCCCAAGGGUUUGGCUGUUCGCCAAUUAAAGCGGUACGCGAGCUGGGUUCAGAACGUCGUGAGACAGUUCGGUCCCUAUCCGGCGCGGGCGGAGGAUAUUUGAGAGGAGCUGUCCUUAGUACGAGAGGACCGGGAUGGACGGACCACUGGUGUAUCUGUUGUCGACCAACGGCAUGGCAGAGUAGCCAAGUCUGGAAGGGAUAAACGCUGAAGGCAUCUAAGCGUGAAGCCCCCCUCAAGAUGAGAUAUCCCUCCUUCGGGAGUAAGACCCCUUGAAGACUACAAGGUAGAUAGGGCAGAGGUGGAAGUGUGGCAACACAUGGAGCUGACUGUUACUAAUCGGGUGAGGGCUUGACCAA